ensembl:lncRNA
CUAAGCCCCGGCCACUGUCUCCGAGGAGGCCUGACCAGCAGGCUCCAACGUGGCCCCAGGUGAAGAGUUAAAAUUGUAUAUGUGCAGGUGUAAAAAGUUAAGCUUAAGCUUACAGGUUUAAACCUUGCUGGUACAGCUGUAAAAAAAUAAGACAGAGUAGCACCUUGGCAGUAGGGACUCCAUUUUGGAGCACUUGAGACUGCAUUCUGGGAAAGCACCCCCCCACUGUGAGACUCUGGUCUGAAACUAUGAUCUCAAAUAGUCGGACAAUAGCAGUGCACUACAUCACCCUUGGCAAUGCACAAAAACCCCCUAGCAUGACUGCUCAAGCUUAAAAGUAGAAAGGUUGCACCUGGGUUACCUGGGCUAAUAAUAAAGAUGUGAUUUGUCUGUGUCUUACAUUAAUGUCAAGUCCUAAUUGCUGAUUGUAAUAUUGUAACUGGUAUUGUCAAGAUUAUGAUAAAUAUUAAUUUCAAUUAGGUUUUAGGUUAUGUUGACCCCAGUAACCAUAUACUCUUUUGAUUUUAUGUACUCUCUUUUGAUUUUAGCAACUGUGUAUAGCAACCGUGCAUAGCAACCGUGUAUUCCCCCCUUCCCGGUUUUGUGGUUUUUGCCUUUAUAAACCCUAACCUUUGGUUAUUCGGGGCUGCUCUGUUCAUGUAUGGUCAGACAGCCCCAGCAUGCUGGAUAAUCAAUAAAGCUUCCCCUUGCUGUUUGCAUAAGAGAUGUCUCUUGGUGACGUUUUUCGGGCAGUCGACUCUAACAUUUGGAGGCCCCAGCGAGAUCUGACUGCUGCCUGCGGACGUCUCCAACAGAUAUCUCUCGGGAAGGGAAGUUACUACUGUUCUGCAGGACUCUCCACUGUGACACUAAAAGCUGCUAACUCCAAAUGGUCAUCAGGCAAGACUUCCAGCCCAUUCCACUGGACUACCUGAGCAGCCCUCUGGACCGAGCAGUACAGUCUUUCCAAGGCCACUGUUGCACACCAUAAGACAGGUAGCAAGAGGAAAUACCCAAAUCCCCCUCGACGCCCACAUGCCAGCUUCGAAGAAGUUACAGAAAACAGAACUCCAUCCAUAAUCCCAAAGAAGAAUUUUGGGUAUUACCUCUUGAGGGGAAAAUAUUAGGCAGAAAGUCAGUUAUGAGCUUAUGUGUGUGUGACAUAAAGGCCUAAUGUGUCCAGCAUAUGCAUCUACAUCUCAGUCAUCCUAACAAUGUUUCACGGGCAGCCUGGCCUUUGCAUCCUGCCCUGCCCCCUUCUACCUGAUAACCUGCCAGGUGGAGAUGCCCGCCCCUUCUGCCUGACAAAUCUUCCACAAUCUCCCAGAUGCAGCCCAGUAUCUGCAUUUCAGUAUUACAGAACAGGCGGGGGUUAAAUCUCAUUUUCAUGGGGGUGGGUUAUGCGUGGCCCUAAAGAAAAAAUGUUGUUUUUAUGCUGACUGAACCGGGGUGGUUAAAAACUCCAUGGCCAAACUCAAAAAACGACUGGAAAAAUGACAACGGGAAAGGAAAACUCAACAGGGAUGGUUUGAGUCAUGGUUCUGCCGGUCCCCAUGGCUUACUACUCUACUGUCAGCCCUAACAGGACCCUUAAUUGUUCUAUUCCUAAUUGUAACCAUAGGACCUUGUGUGUUAAAUAGACUCAUCACCUUCGUGCGGAAACAAGUUAAAAAUGUUAAACACAUGGUCAUAAGACAACAAUAUGUCACAUUAAAAGAUACAAAAACAAAUCUCUAAGAUUAGAGAUCCUCACAACAAGGAGUGGGGAAUGAAGAGUUAAAAUUGUAUAUGUGCAGGUGUAAAAAGUUAAGCUUAAGCUUACAGGUUUAAACCUUGCUGGUACAGCUGUAAAAAAAUAAGACAGAGUAGCACCUUGGCAGUAGGGACUCCAUUUUGGAGCACUUGAGACUGCAUUCUGGGAAAGCACCCCCCACUGUGAGACUCUGGUCUGAAACUAUGAUCUCAAAUAGUCGGACAAUAGCAGUGCACUACAUCACCCUUGGCAAUGCACAAAAACCCCCUAGCAUGACUGCUCAAGCUUAAAAGUAGAAAGGUUGCACCUGGGUUACCUGGGCUAAUAAUAAAGAUGUGAUUUGUCUGUGUCUUACA